rnacentral:rRNA from 1 species
GGGCGUACGUGUGGAUGACUUGGCAUUAGAAGAUGAUGAAGGACGUGACAAACUACGAUAUGCUUCGGGGAGAUGUAAGUAAUCUUUGAUCCGGAGAUUUCCGAAUGGGGGAACCCACUAGUGGUAAUGCGCUAGUAUCAUUUAGUGAAUCCAUAGCUAAACUGAGAGUAACCUGGUGAACUGAAACAUCUUAGUAACCAGAGGAAAAGAAAGAAAAAUCGAUUUCCUUAGUAGUGGCGAGCGAAAAGGAAAUAGCCCAAACCAGUCUUAGGACUGGGGUUGUAGGACCUUAUAUUAGGAGUUACAAAAUUACAAUAUAGUUGAAUAUUCUGGAAAGAAUAACUGUAGAAGGUGAUAGUCCUGUAAACGAAAUAUUGUAAUCUCUAUAGGGUAUCCUGAGUACGGCGGGACACGUGUAAUCUUGUCGGAAUCUGCGGGGACCAUCCCGUAAGGCUAAAUACUCUCUAAUGACCGAUAGUGAACAAGUACCGUGAGGGAAAGGUGAAAAGAACCCCGGGAGGGGAGUGAAAUAGAAUACUGAAACCGUAUGCUUACAAAAAGUCAAAGCCCGUUAAUGGGUGAUGGCGUGCCUUUUGCAGAAUGAACCGGCGAGUUACUGUAUCGUGCAAGGUUAAGUUGAAUAGACGGAGCCGAAGCGAAAGCGAGUCUGAAUAGGGCGACUUAGUACGAUGUAGUAGACCCGAAACCAAGUGAUCUAGCCAUGAGCAGGUUGAAGUGACAGUAACAUGUCAUGGAGGACCGAACCGAUGUACCCGGAAACGUGCCCGGAUGACUUGUGGUUAGCGGAGAAAUUCCAAUCGAACUUGGAGAUAGCUGGUUCUCCCCGAAAUAGGUUUAGGCCUAGCCUUGAGGUUUAGCACGCUGGAGGUAGAGCACUGAAUAAAUGAUGGCCCCGUAUAGGGGUACUGAAUUUAAUCAAACUCCGAAUGCCAGUGUUGUAUACUCAGGAGUCAGUGUAUGGGUGAUAACGUCCAUACGCGAGAGAAAAAGAAUUCAGACCGCCGAUUAAGGUCCCAAAAUUUCUACUAAGUGGGAAAGGAUGUGGAGUUGUCAAAACAGCUAGGAGGUUGGCUUAGAAGCAGCCACCCUUUAAAGAGUGCGUAAUAGCUCACUAGUCGAGUGACACUGCGCCGAAGAUGUACCGGGGCUAAGUAGAAUACCGAAAUCGCGGAUUUAAUACUAUGUAUUAAGUGGUAGGGGAGCGUUCCAUAUGCGCUGAAGGUAGAUCGUGAGGACUACUGGAGCGUAUGGAAGUGAGAAUGCCGGUGUGAGUAGCGCAAGGGAGGUGAGAAUCCUCCCCACCGUUUGACUAAGGUUUCCUGGACAAGGUUCGUCCUUCCAGGGUAAGUCGGGUACUAAGGCGAGGCCGAGAGGCGUAGUCGAUGUCCAACAGGUUGAUAUUCCUGUACCACCUACGUGACUGAUGGAGUGACGGAGAAAGCUAAGAAGAGCCAAUUAUUGGAUUUUGGUAUAAGCACAAAGGUUAGUAUAUAGGCAAAUCCGUAUACUGAAUAACUGAAGUGUGAUGUUGACAGAAAUCUUCGGAUUUCUUAAAUCUUCUGAUGCUAUGCUUCCAAGAAAAGCUUCUAGGGCUAAUUACGUAGGUGCCCGUACCGAGAACCGACACAGGUGGUCAAGGAGAGUAUCCUAAGGUGAGCGAGAGAACUAUGGUUAAGGAACUCGGCAAAAUAACCCCGUAACUUCGGGAGAAGGGGUGGUCUAGCGAUAGACCCGCAGUGAAGAGUCCCAGGCAACUGUUUACCAAAAACACAGGUCUCUGCUAAGCCGUAAGGCGAUGUAUAGGGGCUGACGCCUGCCCAGUGCUGGAAGGUUAAGAGGAUGGAUUAGCUGACGUAAGUCGAUUGCAAAGUCUUGAAUUGAAGCCCCAGUGAACGGCGGCCGUAACUAUAACGGUCCUAAGGUAGCGAAAUUCCUUGUCAGGUAAGUUCUGACCCGCACGAAAGGCGUAAUGAUCUGGAUACUGUCUCAACCAUAGACUCGGUGAAAUCUUAAUACCUGUGAAAAUGCAGGUUACCCGCGACAGGACGGAAAGACCCCAUGGAGCUUUACUGUAGCUUGAUAUUGAGAUUCGAUAUGUUAUGUAGAGGAUAGGUGGGAGACGUUGAUACUAGGACGCCAGUUCUAGUGGAGUCAACCUUGGAAUACCACCCUUAAUAUGUUGAAUUUCUAACCUAGGUCCAUUAUCUGGAUCAGGGACAGUGUCUGGUGGGCAGUUUGACUGGGGCGGUCGCCUCCUAAAAAGUAACGGAGGCGCUCAAAGAUUCCCUCAGAAUGGUUGGAAAUCAUUCGAAGAGUGUAAAGGUAUAAGGGAGUUUGACUGCGAGACCAACAAGUCAAGCAGGUGCGAAAGCAGGACUUAGUGAUCAGGCGAUUCAGUAUGGAAUGGUCGUCGCUUAACGGAUAAAAGUUACCCCGGGGAUAACAGGCUGAUACCACCCAAUAGUUCACAUAGACGGUGGUGUUUGGCACCUCGAUGUCGGCUCGUCACAUCCUGGAGGUGGAUUCGCUUCCAAGGGUUGGGCUGUUCGCCCAUUAAAGUGGCACGCGAGCUGGGUUCAGAACGUCGUGAGACAGUUCGGUCCCUAUCCGUCGUGGGCGUAGGAAAAUUGAGAAGUGCUGUCCUUAGUACGAGAGGACCGGGAUGGACGCACCUCUGGUGUAUCUGUUGUCACGCCAGUGGCAGUGCAGAGUAGCUAUGUGCGGAGAGGAUAAACGCUGAAAGCAUAUAAGCGUGAAACCUUCUUCAAGAUGAAUUUUCCCAUAUGUAUAUAGUAAGACCCGUUGUAGACUACAACGUUGAUAGGUUAGAAGUGGAAGUUUAGUGAUAAAUUGAGCGGACUAAUACUAAUAGGUCGAGGAUUUAACCC